CCAAAAAACUACAAAUCCCUGCAUCCUCCGCGACGAGGGCGGGAGAGGCGUGGUACUGAGCGUUCUGGUGCUGUUUGGUUGGAGAUGGAAACCAACAAAGGGAAGGGCUGGGGUUCUACUGCGCCUUUUCGGUGCUGGGCGCUUCACACGUUACGCACGUUCUUUAUCUAAUCUUCACGACAACCCUGCGAGGCACUAUUGUAUCCAGCCGACUACUUGCCAGAGAUCACAACCGCCCGGGUGGUCGAGAUGGGAUUGAACCCAGAGCCCUGAGAAUUUCACUCAUUAAGCGCUGCCUAGCUGUAGGACUGAAGACCUUGGCUUUUGCUGGCUGUCCACUGGAGACUGUCCUCAAUUCCUAGGUGGCACCUGGCAUUCAUGGGCCAGCACGGCCACUUACUUCAUCAAGUCAGCAAGGAGAGUCUCCAGAGCAAACCUGCUAGCAAGAUGGAAUCUCAUAUAACACAAGGCGUACGUACACAGAGGAAGAUCAUGUGAAGGCACAGAGAGAAGAUGGCCGUCUACAAGCCAACGAGAGAGACCUCAGAAGAAACCAACCCUGCUGACACCUUGAUCUCAGACUUCUAGCUUCUGGAUUUGUGGAAAAAUAAAUUUCUAUUGUUUAAGCCACCCAGUCUGUGAUACUUU